UACGUAGGGGGCUAGCGUUGUCCGGAAUCAUUGGGCGUAAAGCGCGUGUAGGCGGUCCGGUAAGUCCGCCGUGAAAGUCCAGGGCUCAACCCUGGGAUGCCGGUGGAAACUGUCGGGCUAGAGUUCGGGAGAGGGAUGCGGAAUUCCAGGUGUAGCGGUGAAAUGCGUAGAUAUCUGGAGGAACACCGGUGGCGAAGGCGGCAUCCUGGACCGACACUGACGCUGAUGAGCGAAAGCCAGGGGAGCAAACGGG
rnacentral:rRNA from 1 species